rnacentral:rRNA from 1 species
GUCGAGAGGCUUUGGCAAUGGGGGAAACCCUGACCAAGCGACGCCGCGUGGAGGAUGAAGGCCCUUGGGUCGUAAACUCCUUUUGUUGGGGAAGAAAUGCGACCAGGUGAAUAAUCUGGUCGUUUGACGGUACCCGGCGAAUAAGCUCCGGCUAACUCCGUGCCAGCAGCCGCGGUAACACGGGGGGAGCAAGCGUUGUUCGGAAUCACUGGGCGUAAAGGGCGUGUAGGCGGUCGAGUAAGUGGAAUGUGAAAUGCCCCGGCUCACCCGGGGACCUGCAUUCCAUACUGCUUGGCUCGAGUAUGGGAGAGGAUGAGGGAAUUCCUGGUGUAGCGGUGAAAUGCGUAGAUAUCAGGAGGAACACCGGUGGCGAAAGCGCUCAUCUGGCCCAAUACUGACGCUGAGGCGCGAAAGCUAGGGGAGCAAACGGGAUUAGAUACCCUAGUAGUCC